GAUUCAUGCAAGGCCCUCGGGUGAGGGACUGUCGAUCCCGACAGCCAUGCCAGCGCAGGGCCAAGAAAGAAUGUCCUGGAAGGGUGGGGAUGGGUUGGGCUUUCUGAACCCUCCCACCUCAGGAAGGCAAAAGACACAGAUCACAGGCAGCAAGGGGCUGCCAUUUCUGAUGCUUAUACCCUCCACGGUGGCUACAGGAGCCCGCACCAGCAGUGGGAGGAGCAACAUUCCAGAAGCUGCUUCUCUCUGCACCGAUGCAGAAACUGUGCCUGCCAGAUAGUAAUGAUCCAGCCGAGGGCACCAGGCUACAAUUUGCAGAACUGGACUGAAGAAUGGCUGACAUAGCCAGCUGCAGUGGCUCAUGCUUGUAAUCCCAACAGUUUAGGAGGCCAAAGCAGGAGGAUCACUUGAAGUCAUGAGUUCAAGACCAGCCUGAGCAACAUGGCAAGACCCCAUCUCUAUAAAAAAUACAAUAAUUAGCAGGGCAUGGUCGCACAUGUCUGUAGUCCCAGCUGCUUGGUAGGCUGAGGCGGAUGGAUCAUUUCAGCCCAGGAGGCAAGACUGCAGUGAGCCAUGAGUAUGCCACUGCACUCCAGCCUGGGUGACAAAAGAAAAAAAAAAUAGAAUGGAUGAUAUAAACUUUAUUGUUUACUGUGGGGUUGCGGUGGGGGGAGGCGUUAGUUCGUUCUUCUUUCUCUCAAUACCUUUACAAAGUCUCUGUUUCAAAAGAGAGCGCAGAUUAUGCCUGCUACCCCAAGUCCUGAGUCAGAAUUCAAAGGCAAAUAUGGUAGGGUGAUGAGGCAGAAAGGACUUAGGCAGCAGGAGAGCUGUGAUUGGUGGAAGGGGCAGGCAGGAAGAGUUUGGGUUUGGAGACACUGGUUGCUGAGUCAGAACUCCAGCUCUGUCAUUGCCUGUGUGACUUUGGGCAAGUUACAUGUGAUUGUUGGAGCUUCCAUUUCAUUUGCUAAAUAAUUGGGAUCAUAAUACAUACAACGUGGAGUUGUUAGGAUGUCACGAGAGAAUGCACAAGAAGUAAGUACUCCCGAAUUGAGCUAUUAUCUACCUCAAAGGAUUACUGGAGAAAUAGAAAAGGGAUAUAAAGAAACACAGCAAAGAUGCUUCAUAAAAGCUAUUCAUGGACCAACCCUACUCCCAAAUGACAUGGAUGUGGAGCUUUUAGCACCAUCGAAAUAACUCAAUGAAAAAAGUACAUAACUUUGUUGUGAGCUCUUCCAAAAACCUGCACCAUUGAGCCUGGCAAUGAAGAAGGUGGCAGCCAGACUGAAGGGAAGAGGGGCUGCAAGACUUGGAGUUGGUGAUGGCAACCCUGGAGAGGAAAGGAACAUGGCCAAGAGGUUGGGAUUCAUGCUAGAUCAAGAAGGAAGAACCCAGAAGCAGCCCAGAGGCUUCACAGCUACAUAAGAAAAAAAAGGGGGCCAGGCACGAUGCCUCAUGCCUGUAAUCCAGCACUUUGGGAGCCUGAGGCGGGUGGAUCACGAGGUCAGGAGUUCGAGAGCAGCCUGACCAACACAGUGAAACCCUGUCUCCACUGAGAAUACAAAAAUUAGCCAGGCAUGGUGGCACACGCCUGUAAUCCCAGCUACUCAGGAGGCUGAGGCAGGAGAAUCCAGGAGGCGGAACUGCGGUGGGCAGAGAUCACGCCACUGUACUCUAUUCUGGGUGACAGAGUAAGACUCCAUCUCAAAAAAAAAAAAAGGAUGUGACUAUUGCCAAAACCAACUUGUAAAACAUCACCAUGAUAUGUCACCAAGCUACCUACGAGAUGCUGGGCAUACCUUCGGUGGAAGAAAGAAACAGCUAUACAACUUUGGGUUGCUUCAUUUUUCUCUUGCAUUUCUAGUUCAGGUUGGUUUUGGUGUUCUGUUGUUGUUGUUGUUUUGCAUUCCAAAAAAAAUAAAAAAUAA
rnacentral:lncRNA from 10 species